AAACAAACUCUGAAAUCAAUUCUUCAAAAACAAAAAGCAAGUUAAUCGAUUAAAGUUGUUACUUUGAGAACAUUCAUUUGGGAACUUUGACGAACACUGGUGUGCAUGCCAAGCGACAAAGGCUGCGCUAAAAUUAGAGGGGGCGAAAAGUGAGACUACAGAGAGAAAACGUGAUCAUUUACCUUACAGUUGAGAAACACUCACGA